CCUACGGGGGACUGCAGUGGGGAAUAUUGCACAAUGGGCGAAACCCUGAUGCAGCGACGCCGCGUGAGUGAAGAAGGACUUCGGUUUGUAAAGCUCUAUCAGUAGGGAAGAAAAUGACGGUACCUGUUUAAGAAGCCCUGGCUAACUACGUGCCAGCAGCCGCGGUAAUACGGAGGGGGCAAGCGUUAUCCGGAUUUACUGGGUGUAAAGGGAGCGUAGACGGCAGCACAAGUCUGGAGUGAAAUGCCGGGGCUUAACCCCGGAACUGCUUUGGAAACUGUGCAGCUAGAGUGCAGGAGAGGUGAGUAGAAUUCCUAGUGUAGCGGUGAAAUGCGUAGAUAUUAGGAGGAACACCAGUGGCGAAGGCGGCUUCCUGGACUGUAACUGACGUUGAGGCUCGAAAGCGUGGGGAGCAAACAGGAUUAGAUACCCGUGUAGUC
rnacentral:rRNA from 1 species